CUACCCUUGACAUGUCCGGAAUCCUGCAGAGAUGCGGGAGUGCCCGAAAGGGAUCGGAACACAGGUGCUGCAUGGCUGUCGUCAGCUUGUGUCGUGAGAUGUUGGGUUAAGUCCCGCAACGAGCGCAACCCUUAUCAUUAGUUGCUACGCAAGGGCACUCUAAUGAGACUGCCGGUGACAAACCGGAGGAAGGUGGGGAUGACGUCAAGUCCUCAUGGGCCCUUAUGGGUAGGGCUUCACACGUCAUACAAUGNGUCGGUUACAGAGGGUUGCCAANCCGCGAGGCGGAGCCAAUCCCANAAAGCCCGAUCGUAUUCCGGAUUGUUCUCUGCA
rnacentral:rRNA from 1 species